GACGUAGGGCGCAAGCGUUGUCCGGAUUUAUUGGGCGUAAAGAGCUCGUAGGCGGCUUGUCGCGUCGAAUGUGAAAACCCGGGGCUCAACCCCGGGCCUGCAUUCGAUACGGGCAGACUAGAGUUCGGUAGGGGAGUCUGGAAUUCCUGGUGUAGCGGUGAAAUGCGCAGAUAUCAGGAGGAACACCGGUGGCGAAGGCGGGACUCUGGGCCGAUACUGACGCUGAGGAGCGAAAGCGUGGGGAGCAAACAGG
rnacentral:rRNA from 1 species